UUAAAUUAUGGACUCGAAUUGAACCCUAUUCCUCCCGACUUCUCAUCUCGUGGCCGCUGCUCUCUUCUCUCCGCGUCUCCGCCGCAGCGGAGCUUCCUUUGCCGUCAGCUUCGCCGCACUCCCAUCAGGAACCAUUCUCCACAGUUCACCUCUUGAAGAUCUUGCUCUUGACCAAAUAAAGUCCUAAACAAUGCCUUCAAAGGGUGUCUCGCCAAUUACAGUUAGUUCUCUUUUGAAGUUGUGCAAAGGAUGUUGCUCACGCAAAGUUACGGACCGUAUAAAAGGCCUUAAUGUGUUGAGGGCUAUUAGCACUGCUGCUGAAAGGUCGGAUUUUCAGUUUUCUGGUGGUUACCAAAAUGAUGAUUCUUUAGGUUACCAGCAAAAUCGUGUUGGGUUCUAUCAGGAAAGCUGGAAUAAGGCUGAUUCUAACGAGCUUUUGAAUAAGCAAAGACCUGAUUAUGUUGCUCAAUCAAAUGGAAGUCGGUCUUAUUGGAAUAAUCAUGCUAGUUCAGGGCAAAAUUCUUAUGCAGCUGGUCAGAUUGCCGAUGGAGGUCAUUUUCCAAAGUCACCAAAUUUUCAUUACAAAGGGAGUAAUGAGACGCAUCAACAAUAUUCAGGUUCUGGACAGUUUCAGCAUAGCCUGAAAAAUGGCCAGUAUUCUCCAAACUUGAAUAUUCCACAGAGAUCGAUGGUUGGCUCUCAUCUAUCAAGUAAUGCAAAUCCUGAUGGCGUAUCAGCUGAGGCAUCAAAUGAUAGUCCAUAUAGAGGUACACUUGAGGAACUAGAUAGUUUGUGCGUUGAGGGUAAAGUGAAGGAAGCAGUUGAGGUUUUGAAUUUGCUGGAAAAACUACGUAUUCCUGUGGAUUUGCCUCGAUAUUUGCUAUUAAUGCGCCAAUGUGGGGAAACUAAAUCUCUUACAGAGGCAAAAAUUGUACACAGACAUGCCAUACAACAUUUAUCACCUCUUAAAGUAAGCUCAUAUAAUAAAAUAUUGGAAAUGUAUUUAGAAUGUGGUUCUGUAGAUGAUGCACUCAGCAUUUUCAACAAUAUGCCAGAGCGCAAUUUGACUACUUGGGAUACUAUGAUAACACACCUUGCUAAGAAUGGGUUUGCAGAAGAUUCAAUUGAUCUAUUUACUCAAUUUAAAAAUUUGGGCCUGGCUCCUGAUGGGCAUAUGUUCAUUGGGGUUCUUUCAGCAUGUAGUAUGCUGGGCGAUAUAGAUGAGGGAAUGCUGCAUUUUGAAUCCAUGAGCAAGGAUUAUGGCAUUGUACCAUCUAUGGCUCAUUUUGUCAGGGUAGUAGACAUGAUUGGCAGCAUUGGGCAUCUGGAUGAAGCCUUUGAGUUCAUUGAAAAGAUGCCAAUGGAGCCAAGUGCUGAUAUAUGGGAGACUUUGAUGAAUCUCUGUAGAGUUCAUGGGAACACUGGGCUGGGGGAUCGUUGUGCUGAACUAGUUGAGCAGCUAGAUCCUUCUCGUGUAAAUGACCAGUCAAAAGCUGGCCUUGUACCCCCUAAAGCCUCAGACUUGACAAAGGAGGGAGAGAAAAAGAAACUAGCAAGCAAAAAUCUUCUUGAAGUUAGGAGCCGAGUCCAUGAAUAUCGAGCUGGAGAUACUUCUCAUCCUGAAAAUGAUAAGAUAUAUGCCCUGCUUAGAGGUCUGAAGGCGCAAAUGAAAGAAGCUGGCUAUAUUCCAGAGACAAAAUUUGUGUUGCAUGACAUUGACCAGGAAGGCAAAGAAGAAGCUCUUCUUGCACACAGUGAGAGACUUGCUGUUGCUUAUGGUCUCCUUAGCAGCUCUGCUCGCUCUCCGAUCAGGGUAAUUAAGAACCUUCGUGUUUGUGGCGAUUGCCAUACAGCACUGAAAAUUAUUUCUAAGCUUGUAGGCAGAGAACUCAUUAUUCGAGAUGCAAAAAGGUUCCACCAUUUCAAAGAUGGACUAUGCUCCUGCCGGGAUUAUUGGUGAACAUGAACUUAGGUACAGUCUGCCUCUUUCUUACUGAUAGUUUCCCUUUAUAAUUGAAUUGGUAGCUGAUAAACAUUGAAACUAAAAUGGGUGCUAUUUGUCUGAGAAAAUUUUAAUACAGCAGAUGUAGUAAAGCUCAACUUACAUGAAACAAAUCAUCCACUCUCUGAUCCCUACACCAAUGUUUGUUGUGUAAUAUCAUGUGUGUACGAGUUUUACCAAUAGAAGUUGAGCCUAGAGAUCAAAAUGGGAUUUAAAUCUUCACUUCUGGAGUUGCAAUUGCAUAUUUGGGCUUAUUAUAAAAAUGGAGCAGAGGCCAAGGUGAAUUCAUUUGAACAAAUGCCAAGUAUUACAUUACAUCCUCUCUCCCCCUCCCCCUUUUCUUACGUUAAGAAUAAGGUGAAUCCUGACUACCAGCUGGGUUGAAUAGCAUGGCUUUAUUAAGUUAACUCCUCAAGCCUGCUCAUAGGGACAUUGUUCGUAUAUAUCUCACGGUCAUAUUAUUAAAACGAUCUUUACAUCCCCAAGGAGACUGAAGUUUUGUUUAACCAGGCUCUUCCACUAAUAAAUCAAUCAGUGGGAUACGCAUUCUGGUUGCAGAGGCAUUAUUCUUUGAGUAGUUUUAUAGAACUGGCUAUUGUAGCUUCCAUAUAAGAUAUAAAUUAUUUUUGCACUCCAAGGGAAAAGUUGAUGUAGUUGAUAGACAACAUCUACGUCCAAUGGCAUAGUUUCAGAUAACUUCUUUGAUUGUCAGCAUCUCGUCAUUUAUCACAAUCAUCCGAUUUAGUCUAAACUUGUUUGUGUUGCUUGUCUCUUCUGUGUCAAAGUUCUUGCUGGUGUGAUUUAGACGCUUGCAGAAGCCUUGGAACGUUCAGGAUGCCUUUGGAGUAGGAUGUCUCUUAUGUAAUAGUUAGGACCUAUUUGAAUAAACUUUUCCAGAAGUGCUUCUAGGAAGAAAUUAGGAACACAACGAAUUAAGUUUUUUCAUAGGUUAAAUUUAGUUUAUGCACAAGUUAUUGUGUAAUUUUUCGGUGAAACUAUACGAGAGUUUCUAUAAAUUAGUUUAUAUGUGAGUUAUUUUUAGUUUGU